GGGUCAGUAGGUUGGUCGUGCCACCGGUACGUACUGGUCUCACUGAUUCCUCCCUCCUGAAGAACCGUAAUGCCAUUAAUUUGGUGUUGCGGGGAAACAGGACUGUUACUUUGAAGAAAUUAGAGUGUUUAAAGCAAGCUAACGCUUGAAUACAUUAGCAUGGAAUAAUGAAAUAGGACGAUCGAUCCUAUUUUGUUGGUUUCCAGGAUUGACGUA
rnacentral:rRNA from 1 species